rnacentral:rRNA from 1 species
GAUGAACGCUAGCGGCAGGCCUAAUACAUGCAAGUCGAACGGUAACAUUGGUGCUUGCACCAGAUGACGAGUGGCGCACGGGUGCGUAACGCGUAUGCAACCUACCUUUUACUAGAGUAUAGCCCAGAGAAAUUUGGAUUAAUCCUCUAUAACAUCUUUUAAUUUCAUGAUUUUAAGAUUAAAGUUUUAACGGUAAAGAUGGGCAUGCGUCCUAUUAGUUUGUAGGUGAGGUAACGGCUCACCUAGACUACGAUAGGUAGGGGCCCUGAGAGGGGGAUCCCCCACACUGGUACUGAGACACGGACCAGACUCCUACGGGAGGCAGCAGUAAGGAAUAUUGGACAAUGGAGGAAACUCUGAUCCAGCCAUGCAGCGUGCAGGAAGAA